rnacentral:lncRNA from 1 species
GGGUGGUCUGCAUGUCCCUCAGCAGCAUCCUUCGCUUAUUGCUCUUCAUUAUUUUACUGCAGCUUCCGUGGGAAUCAGGGUUGGGAGGAGAGAUAGAAAAGAGAUCCAAGAGAAGAUUUCAGUAAAGCUGCACUGAAAUGUGGCAUCCAUUGUCGAUGAGAAGUGGACUCUAGAGUCAAGAGUAAGCAAGAAAUUCAGUCAAUGGGUUGAGGGCCGAACACAGAAAAAUGACCUGAAGAACUUUGUAAAUACUAUUGGAUGGGGAUGUCAUGUAGGUUAGGAUAUGAGAAAGCAGACAAAUGCGGGAAAUUUAAAAGCAAAUAUUGAAAUUUUCCCAGGGCAUCUUUAACUCUAGCAUCCACCCUUUGGACUUCUUUUCCAGGAUCUUCCAUACAGUGCCCACUACCCAGGAUGGUCUUCCCAUCUUGAUGACACCAGCCUGUCCUCGACUUGCAUUCCUUAAGAGCUCAUUAAGUUUGAAGAGGCCAGACGGUGCUGUCAGUUAUCUGUGGUUUUCAGAACUGACAAUGAGUAAGUGGUGGCCAAGAUGGAUUGAGAAAGCUAAAACGUACGGAGAGGAGUGAGAAAACGGAGCUGUUGUAGCUCAGGGAACAAACACGACUACUUUAACACAUCUCUUGUGUUUAGGGGUUGUGUGUAUGUAUGGGUAAGGUGGUUUCUUUAUUACAAUGGAGUUUGGGUGGAAUAACACCCACAUAGGUCUUAAGUCCAUGUCAAAGAUUUAGCUCAAGAAAGGAUUAGAAAGAUAUUCCCACUAA